UUAACAUGCUGAAUAUAUUGCGUCGAAAACUGGUUCGACGACUAUUCUUCGUCUAUAAGUAGUCGAAACACAGGCAUAGGAAAUGGAUUAAUUCGGUGGAAUUUUACACGCGUGCUCCAAUAGAACAACAACCAAUCUCUUUGAUUGCCAAUUCUAGAACGAACGAUUUCCUCUUGCUCCCGACCAGAACAUGAAUAAAUUGCUCGUACUUGUGGUUCUGGCGUCGAUCAUAUUCAUGGUGUACGUGACAUAUACAAUGGCUGAUUGUCAACGCAGUGAAACUGAGUGUACUCGGAACAAUGACUGCUGUUCGGGCUUUUGUGAUGAUGGUUUGUGUGACGCAGACGGCGACUCUACGACAUCUUAGAGGCUUGCUUAGCUUAAGGAUUACUUUUGUGCAUGUAACCGUUCAUGUUUUGUAAAUAAAAUGCUUAUCGUUGCUGGGAGA